UGUGUGUGUGCCUGCGUGUAUGUGUGUGCGCGUGUGUCUGUGUGCGUCUCUGCCCUUCUCCCCUCGGGAUGCACUUGUUUCCAGGGCUGGUCCUCCCAACUUCAGACUAAAUCAGACCUUCAGACAGAUUAGAUAGGUUCGUUGCUGACCACAAAAGAAGAAAUCAAACAUCAGCAAAAAUCAUCUGGACUCCAUAUUUGAGGUAUGCUCUUCUUUUGAAAAAGGGCAUUUUUCCAAGACAUCUGGAAACACGACCACUUUACGUCGUGGUGUAGCGAUUUUGGCUCGUGAAGCAAGUAUAAACUGUACUGAAAAUGAAAGUCAGCAGCUCCAUUUUGUGACGAGUGAAAACUAAA